ACUACUCAUUAUUUGCGACUUUGCGUCAAAACCUUGAAUAGCAAACCCCACGGUGGUUUUACAGUGGAAUACAAUUCAAUUCGGGUGGGGCCCUCCGACUCUACAACUCUCUCUUCAAACUCCCUAUGGUUAUGCGAUGGAAUUUCGAUGAUCGGUUUGUCGACAAUCUUUAAUCAGAGAGAUGUAGUUAGUGCUACACUAAUUGUCGUUGUGUUAAUCGUCGGGAUUGGGUGAUAAAUUGAAGUAGAUGGCGGACAUAGAAACGACCUAUGAAGAUCUUGGUGUUUGUAAUCGGGUUUUGGUUGCUUAAUGUUGCUAAUUAUACCAUUAAAUAUGUCUUCGUAAAGCUCUUCUGGCUGAUCUUACUGGUGUUUGUGUCCUUGGAUAGGGAUCAUGUCAUCAUGGGAUCAGCUAUUUGGUGGGGGGAAAUUCACCAUCUACAGCUGUAGCAGGAGUUGCCUCAUUUACUAGUGGACUUAUAGCUAUUUUUGCUCUGCCUCUAUCUAUAUGUGAGAAAAACAGAGUUCAUGCAAUGCAUGUAUGAGGUAAUUAAGAGUUUAUUUUUUGUGGCUAUUCAUUCAUAUAUGAGAGCUUGAAUGGCAUCAUGUGAAUUAUGAGAAUUUAUACAUAAUGAUAACAUUACUUAUAUUAAUAUGAAUUGGUUCCAAUUAAAUGGUUUGGCUAUAAUUUUUGCAGCGUGCAACUUUUUUGCAUUAUUCUCCCUUGGCAAUUCAAGUAUAAUAUUUUCUUUUAUGGCCAGGCGGAGCUACAUUAGGGUGAAGGUUGGCCACGGCGCACCCUCAAAAAUCACCGGAAUUGUAAUUUAUAUGGCUUAUUUGGCGCACAAAUAUUUUGAAAUUAUAUUAUAAAUCAAUCACUUAUUGGUGUUGCUGUCAACAAUCAACAUAACAAAAUUGAUCAAGUAUCCUAAAAUGCUGGUAAUUACGACCCCCUUAUCUAAAAUCUUUUUGUGAUGUUAAUAUGAAAAUUUGGCCCUUCCUCACCUAAAUCCUGACUUCUCUUUUUGUAAGGUUGCGUCUAUCCGACCCCGAAAUCCUUGCUCAAGGGAGCUACUUGGCAUUGUGGUAAUAACAUGCUGGUGUCCUAUAUAUUACAUAGGAGUAUAUUAGAUUAGUAUACAUGAGUGUGGGUAGAAGGAAAAUUCAUUUCUAUGACCAUUGGGAUCAAGGCUUUGGCUUUGUUGUCUUCUUUUGAUUGUACACAUUGAACACAUAUUGAUGGGGUAGUUUCUUAUAUUAUAUGAGCUAGAAAGGAUCAGUACACUGGUCUGAAUUUUCUGAUUCAUUUUAAAGGGGAACAGUAUUCAACUUUUCAGUAUUCACUAAUUUCCAACUUUAUCUCUGUUUUUAUCUGAGACUGUUUAAAGCAAAAAACUUCUACUUACAGAUGUUACGUAUUUGUCUGUAGCACAAAUUCAAUUCAUUUUCUUGUAUGUUCUUUCAAUGAAAUUCUUUCUGAAGGAGUGGACAAUGUACAUGUUGUACAACAAUGCUAAAGCCUUGAUGUCAAUAAUAUGGACUGCAUGAAUCAAAACCAUCAGUGUGAUAAUCCUAGCUAGUCAAGAAUAUUUGGACUAAUAAUAAUAAUAAUAAUAAUAAUCUCUAAUAUUAAUCUACAACCAACAAAAUCAAUGUCAAUGAUUAUCUAUCCAUCUAUCUAUUGUCAUAAACCACUAUGAAUACCAAUUCUUCAUUCUGAUUAUCUAGGUCAUUCUCGACCUACCUCUUCCUCGGCUCUUCAAAGUUCUCACAGUACUCUCUUCUAAUUGGUGCAUUAUUUUAUCUUUGCGUAUGAUUAAAUCAUUGUAGACGGCUUUCUCUCACUUUGUCUUCAAUAUCCGUCACUCUAAAGUUCUUUCUUUUGUUUUAUGUUUUAAAUUCUAGCCUUUAGGAUGUUUCCCUUCAUUCAUCUUAACAUACACAUCUUAGCUACCUCAUUUUCGACAAUAAUCUCUUCACAGAGCCUUACAGAUGUACCCGUACAAUAAUGCUGGUCUAGUGGCACUCUAGUAUAAUUUUCCACCUUAGCAGCUAGCUUCGUUCAUAUAAUAUUCCGUUUGCAACUUUUCAGUUGAGUCGUUCUAUACUUGAUGAAUAUUUUCUUUUUUGUGGAAAAUCAAGCCAAAGUUCUUGAAGCACUCACUUGAAAGGAGUUUUAAAGAAGCUCUUUUUUAUCUAGCUAUACAACACCUGUAUUAUAAAUCUCUGUGCGAAAACGACAUUUUAUAUACUCUGUCAAAAGUCACACGUGUUACUUGUAAAAUUAAAAUUAGAUGUGGUAAGGAAGAAGUCAGAAUGUCCACUGCUUUCAUGUUGAAUUUUUGCGGCGAAUUAAAAUGAGUAUUGGAUACAAUAUUGGAUGAGAAAAGAAGAGGAGCUUGUGUUUGUUCAAUCAGAAUGAAAAGUAAAAAAUCAAGGAAAUUUGGUACGAUUACAAUGUCUAUAAAGCUCAAUUUUGAUGGGAAAAUGGAAUAAAUCCUGCCUGCUGCACUGUCUGAGCAAUAUUGGAGAAAACCAUUUGUAGGUAUAAGAUAUUAUAGUAUGAUCUUUCCUUCUUUUUAGGUAUGUAAAGUAAUGCUUGAGCCUGAGAGAAUUAUUAGAGAAGGCAUAAUACAGUAGUAUACUGUGACAGGAAAGAAAAAAUCAUUAACCAUCCAUUAAGACUUUGUGCCCAUGACCUCUACAGAACUUUUCAGUAGAUUACGGACAAAAGAAUCCAUAUUUGUCAACCACUCUUUGCUUUGAGCCAUAUGCUUAGGAGUUAGGAGUACACAUACAUGUAGAAGGAAAACAUGCUUUGAGAUGUACAUCUAGCACAGUAAGAAUUGGAAUGAUAGAAGAAUGAGCGUUAAGUGAUACGAAGGGCAAGUUCUUGCGCAAUGUACAAUGUAAGUUUUUGCUUAAUAUGGUCUGAGCCAAGAAUGUAUCUUUCCCACUGAAAGAUUGUUAUCAAGUAUACUGUACUGAUCAAAUUUCCCAACACCUAAUGUAGAAUAAUCACUUUGGAAAAGAGAACGUGUCAUGUCUUUAGUUUGUGUCUCUUGAUGAGCAAUCACUGUGAGAACAGCGGCAGCAUCAUCUGGUAUUGGAUAUAUGGAAGGUUUUCUCCUAAUGACAACCUUUUUGCCAACCAAGAUGCGCUGUAGGUAGUUUAGGAUUUAUUCCUUUUCUAUGAGAAUUAAAUCUCGUCUAGGUGAGAAUUACUUAAUGGAUUUGAGAAUGGUAGUAUAAAAAAUGUCGUACUGUCCUACAUGUUUGAUAUGUCCUUUUCAUGAUUCCUUCUUGGUGCUGGAAUCUUAAGCAGUAUUAUGUCUAAAAAAUCGAUGCAUGAAUGUAAGUUGAAAAAUAUGCCCAAGUGGUGGGGAAUCCUUGGAAAUGUUCAAACUCUACACCUAUUGAAACCUUGAUGGAGACGCUUCUUCCAUACUCAUGAUCUGGAUUUUGGCCUUUUGAAACACCUAUUUGUUGAUUUUCAAUGUGGAUUGUUUUUAUCUUCUUUUCUUUUCCUCUUUUUUGCUCAUGAAUUUUGGAAUAUAUUCCUUAAGAUUUUUAUAUCCAAAUUACUUGUAUUUUACUGGUUUAUGGUGUCCUCAUUGUUUCUGCCUGCAGAAUCAUGUCAUGUGAUCUGUUAUUACCAUGUUUUUAUCACCCAUAGACUUUACCGAUGAAUGAAAAUGGGGAAAUUGGGUUGAUGAGGGACAAACUUUAUGCUAUGAAGCAUUGAUCAAAUCUUACAUUUCAACUCAAUUUGCAUUCGAGUCUAGUAUCAGGAUGUCGUGUUCGUGAUCUAACUAAGGGGAUUAAUCUUCUUAUAAAUCAUGAUUAUCCUACCAAAUUGUUUCAGUAUUAUCAUUGUUUAAACUUAGUCGUGGUCAAGUUGUAACCUUUAGAUAUACGUUUCUAUCUUAAUAAACUUCCCGCCAACUGAGCACAGCUAUGAUGUUUGCAUUCAAGGGUUAAUCAAAAUUCAAGAAUGACCGUUUUCUGCUAUGAUAAUGAUAAAGUUGUGUACAUCAUGAUCUCCCAAACUAUCCCGAAGGGAGAGUCUCUUGACAUUUGAGUGAUGGAAUAUUGUUGUCACAAAUUUUAAAUAUUAAUUUUCCUCUUGAUCUUUGAGCUUGUCAGUUUGUAUCACUUGUAUAUUGUAGUGUUUAACUCCACUAUCUCAGCUAUGAAAUAUGUGAAUUAAUCUCCACCUCAGAAAUAUUUUUUGAUGCUUUCAACCUCCCUACCUCUUCCUCUCUUCUGUUUAUAAUCACUGACUACUGUAGCAUAGUGCAUCUUAAUGGAGCUGAAGAUAUGAAAUCAUUUGUCAGUAUUUUUGGGUACAACAACGUCAAAGACUUAAUCCCAAAAGAUUGGGGUCGGCCAGAUGAAACAAUGGACCAUUUCAGUGUUCGUCCACAUGAAUUCUACUUCUCCGUUCAUUUCGAUUUUCUACUAUCUCAAUCUAUGAAUCUAAAUCCUUGAUAUUUUUUUACUCCUAACCUCCAAGUCAUCUUUGAUAUUCUUUGCCCUAUUUUCCAGUCUCUAGUGCUUUAAGUUUCUAUAUUUUCAUCGGUUUACUAAUACUUAGUCUUUGCACAUUCCCAAAUCAUGUAAUAGUUUUUGUUAGGUAAAUUUGAUAAAUU